rnacentral:rRNA from 1 species
UACGGAGGAUGCAAGCGUUAUCCGGAAUGAUUGGGCGUAAAGCGUCCGCAGGUGGCUAUGUAAGUCUGCUGUUAAAGAGUGAGGCUCAACCUCAUAAGAGCAGAGGAAACUACAUGGCUAGAGUGCGUUCGGGGCAGAGGGAAUUCCUGGUGUAGCGGUGAAAUGCGUAGAGAUCAGGAAGAACACCGGUGGCGAAAGCGUUCUGCUAGACCUGUACUGACACUGAGGGACGAAAGCUAGGGAAGCGAAUGGG